ACUUAGCCAGAGCAGGGUAGAACAAGUCCUUGUAUUUCUGUUUACAGAAGCUUCCACCUGGGUCUACACAUACAGCCACAGAGUCAGCCUGAGUGGAUCCUGGGCUGACAGAGUUUAUCGGCCAGCUCUGCAGUGGCCCUAGGAACAUCACACUGUGCCUAUCAUGCCAAGUGACCCCCGAGACCCACUGGAGCUGAGAGAGCCUGAGGAGGGUGUCAGACCAACAUCCUGGGUGGUUGCUGUAGUUUCCUCUGAUGCCUUAAAACUGAAAAUCUAGAGGGUUUGCAGGAACGACCAAAGGGACUGCACUGUGCUUUGUUUCUGCUGGGAGUGACCCUACAUCACAGAGAGUUUGGGCUUCACUCCACCUAGCCCUGGCUGUUCCUUCCAAACAUUCUUUCACUCACAACCUUCCUUGACCCUCUGUCCCCAUCUGCUCCCUUGAUCUAUUUGUGGACGUGCUUAGAGCUAAAUAACACUGGAGUUGGAUUUCAUUCAAUUUCUCAAGUCGAUUCAAGGAAGGUUGACUUUAUUAUAACUAUUCAGGCAGAGAAUGGCCCUUCUAUCUGCUUUCACACAGAACAAAAAUGGUCUCAGCUCUUCUUUAAACUGUCAAAUUAUAUCCUUCUUCUUUUUGAAUUAUUUAUAAUCUGUUGUUUUUACCCUGCAAAAAUGGGCUUUUGCUACUUCAACCACAUAUUAGGCCUUUUAUGCAAACUGUAAAAGAAGCCAGCCUUCUGUCAGAGAAAGGCUUCUGACUUCACUAGGUAUAAGAGAACCAAAUUUUUAUCCCCAUAAAAUUUUUCCCAUUUCAGUCAUAGCACAGCUGAUGCAAAGGCAGAAGAGUUAUGGUGGAAAUGGAAAUACAUGUGUAAAAACUACAGUCCCUACAGUUUUCUGUGAAUUCAUAAUCCCCAGAGACCAGCAGACCUCAGAAACCAACCAAGCAAUGGGAGGAGCUAGAAACUCAAUGGUAUCAGCCAAAAUGAGCAUGGAGUGUUCACUCAGAAUGAGGAACCACCGAGGAGGUGUGCGUCAUCAGCCUCACUCACAGAGAAGGAAGCCUACGUGGUCACAAGACUGAGCUGUAAGAGGGAGGGGCAAUGCGUAGUCAGCCCAGAUAGAGCUCAAAUGUUUUAAAAUUUAAUACGUUUUUUAUUAUAAGGUCUAACCAAUCCC
rnacentral:lncRNA from 1 species